rnacentral:rRNA from 1 species
UAGCGUAAUCACUUGUUCUUUAAUUGAGGACUAGUAUGAACGGCCCCACGAGGACUACACUGUCUCCUUUUUCUAAUCAAUGAAACUGAUCUCCUCGUGAAGAAGCGAGGAUAAAUAUAUAAGACGAGAAGACCCUAUGGAGCUUUAAACAAUCGGGGUACUUGCUAAUUCCUAAUUCACUUCCUGAAAAGCUAAACAAAUUAGAGCAUCUUACCCCCUAGUUUUAGGUUGGGGUGACCACGGAGAAAAAAUCAACCUCCACGCUGUAAGAAGCCUCCCAUCUUCUAAGAUAAGAGUUACAUCUCUAAGCAUCAAUACAUUGACUCCCAUUGACCCAAUAAUUUGAUCAAGGAACCAAGUUACCCUAGGGAUAACA